UUCAUCUUCUCUGUUCUCUUUCUUCCUAUCCUUUCUCCCUUUUGCGGUGGUCAUUGGAGCACCCUAACACUGAACUACCGCACGUCGUCCUCCUCAACGGAGAGCACCGCGACAUCCUCUUCUCCACCGUCGCUGACGCUGAGCAACUAGUUUAUAUGCUUCUUGCCCAGAUCUGGGUAAUGGGUUGUGUGGGUUUUGUUGGGAUGGAGGUGCUUUGAUCUUCAGGGUUGGGGUUUUUUUAGUUGAGAGAGAAAGAUCCAAACCCUGAAUAGCGUCACCACCCGAUUCUAGCUACGAUGUGGUUACCUAUAUGACGGCUCGACGCGAUGGUGCUGUCGCUAACAAUCGGGUUUUGCGUUGUCCUUUUAUGGGUUUCAUUAUCUGCUGAAUCUCUAUAUUUUUUGGGUAAAAACAUUAUUUCUAUUAUUGUUCUCUGAAGAUUGUACGUUUCCAUUCAUUUUAUUGAUUUCUCAAUCAAGAAAUCAUACACAGGUCCUGGAUCUAAAUUUAAAUUGGUUCAACUAUUUUUAUUUUAGUAUAUUUCAAUUGAUGGUGUUGUGGAAAUCAAAUGAACUGGGCUUAAGGAAAGAAAAUGACAGAAAUUGAAGAGGUGGUAAAGUGGAGGCGAAGAGAAGAAGACAACGAGAUAGGUGCAGGGCUUUUGUGUCCUUUACUUAAUAAAUUUUAAAUAUAAUUAAAAUCUAUUUUACCAGAUUACCCGGUUUCCCAUUAGCCCCAAUGACAGGUGUUGUGAUGCUAUUGGUCCUCACAUGUAUGGCACCUGCACCUUAUACUCCACCUUUCAUUUUACUCUUUCAAACAAAAUUCAUUUUUGAACUUACUUUUACAACAUUUCAUGAUCGCGUAUGCUGGGCUUUGAGGGCUUAAUUGGGCACUCAGUUCAUGUUAGCUAUUGCUGCCAAAGCAUAUAAAGUAAGUCUUUAGUGAAAUGUCCGAGAAAAACCUGGUCACUUGGAAUGAAAUGGCUGGUGUAUAUGCACAUCGAGCGAGUAGUGGGACCAGAGCAAUGGAGAGAGGCGUGCAGAUAUUUAAAUCAAUGAGUGAUCAUCAAUGGAAUUGAACCACGAUGCACGUGUUGUGGACCUUCCACGGAUUGGUAAACCGUGCAUGUGAGUUUAUUAAACAUAUGCCAAUUCAUCCAAAAAGUUGAGAUACAGCUGAAACAUUAUUUGAGCUUUGAUCCUCAAGAUUCUGGCAAUCGUGUAGUGCUUUUCAACCUGCUGGCCUCUGUUCUGUUGCGGACAUAUUAAGUUCUUUCAUCCAUCUGACAAAACACUGUCCUGCCUCUUUUGCUCAUGCUUGUAGUUGCCAAAUACAGAUGGGAAUAAGCCACUAUCUUCAGGAAGAAAUUGUUAUUAAACAAAUUGUUGUUUAUGUUGGAUUGCUGUAAAGAACAGUGUUCAUGAAUAUAACAUAAAUUCAGGCAAUGCUGGGGACAUGAUGAAGGUUGGAUAUGCUCCAGAUAUUGAUAUAUUACUCUUUGGUUUAUAGGACAAAGAAAAGGCUUCUGAAUUUUUGUACCACAAUGACAUAAUUGCUCUUGCUUGUGGCAUCAUGGCUCUUCCCCAAACGUAUCGCCAAAAAUCUCACGGUUUGAUAUAUCUGUAGUGUCAUUGAGUUUCAUCUCAAGAAUCAUUGUUAGAGAAAUUAUGGACAUAUCAUAAUCGAUUUCAUCACUUUCAAAUAAACUCUCUUUUAUCUUUAUUUCCCCAAGCAGCAGAGGAGUAAAGGUGUAUUCAUUAUGGUAUGCAAAUAACAAAGUCUAUAACUAUGGCA